UUUUGUUCCAACAGAUUGAAACUGAUGAAGAUCGAGCUGGAAGGAGUUAACUGAUGAGUAGACAUUACAACAUUUCUUAUAUUUGCAAGAUGAAGCUGAAAGUCCCAUGCAGGAUGAUGCUUCUCUACAGUGGAUGAUGAAGGCAUGCUGGUUACAAACCCAGGAGAGGAACAAAGAACAGAUAUUGACAGAAUCAUAUCUAGAGAUGUGGGCCUACUACACUUCAUACGAGCAAGUGUGCUAAUAUACAAUACUUGGGUUAUCAUCACAGCCCUUUCUUCUGAAAACUAGCCUACAACUUCAUUGAUGAAUGCA